CGUGAAAGACAGGCCAGGUGCCCUAACA
rnacentral:piRNA from 1 species